rnacentral:rRNA from 1 species
UACGUAGGUGGCAAGCGUUGUCCGGAAUUAUUGGGCGUAAAGCGUGCGCAGGCGGCCUCUUAAGUCUGAUGUGAAAGCCCCCCGGCUCAACCGGGGAGGGCCAUUGGAAACUGGGAGGCUUGAGUAUAGGAGAGAAGAGUGGAAUUCCACGUGUAGCGGUGAAAUGCGUAGAGAUGUGGAGGAACACCAGUGGCGAAGGCGACUCUUUGGCCUAUAACUGACGCUGAGGCGCGAAAGCGUGGGGAGCAAACAGG